rnacentral:lncRNA from 1 species
GUGGGUCUUGUCCCGAUUUCCAUUCUAGUAUUUAGAGAUUUCAUAGACAGUAGUAGUUGAGGAGUCUUUUUUCCCCUUUUUACUUGUUGAGGUUUUAAAGACUUUGAGUUGAACAUUUAUGUUUAUUUGAGUAUUUUAGACAGUUUUGAAUUAAACUACUUUACUAAUGAGAUCAUAUGAGUUAAUGUUUGCAUCUGAGUUCCUAUGUUGUUGAGUAAGUCUUCCGCUGAGUUUUGAGUCAGGCCAAGGAUUCGCUUGGAGACUAGCAAUAGUUCUCAAGUGCCGGCCACGUCCAGAGUGUAGACUCGGGG